rnacentral:rRNA from 1 species
GAUGAACGCUGGCGGCGUGCCUAAUACAUGCAAGUCGAGCGAACAGACGAGGAGCUUGCUCCUCUGACGUUAGCGGCGGACGGGUGAGUAACACGUGGAUAACCUACCUAUAAGACUGGGAUAACUUCGGGAAACCGGAGCUAAUACCGGAUAAUAUAUUGAACCGCAUGGUUCAAUAGUGAAAGACGGUUUUGCUGUCACUUAUAGAUGGAUCCGCGCCGCAUUAGCUAGUUGGUAAGGUAACGGCUUACCAAGGCAACGAUGCGUAGCCGACCUGAGAGGGUGAUCGGCCACACUGGAACUGAGACACGGUCCAGACUCCUACGGGAGGCAGCAGUAGGGAAUCUGCCGCAAUGGGCGAAAGCCUGACGGAGCAACGCCGCGUGAGUGAUGAAGGUCUUCGGAUCGUAAAACUCUGUUAUUAGGGAAGAACAAAUGUGUAAGUAACUAUGCACGUCUGGACGGUACCUAAUCAGAAAACCACGGCUAACUACGU